UCCGAGUUGUCCCCGGCAGUCCUCUUAGAGUCCCCGGCGUUACCCGCUGGCAACUAAAGAUAGGGGUUGCGCUCGUUAUGGGACUUAACCCGACACCUCACAGCACGAGCUGACGACAGCCAUGCAGCACCUGUCACCGACCAAUUGAAGAGCUCCGUCUCCGGAGCCCCGAUCGGGAAGUCAAGGGCUGGUAAGGUUCUUCGCGUUGCCUCGAAUUAAACCACAUGCUCCACCGCUUGUGCGGGCCCCCGUCAAUUCCUUUGAGUUUUAAUCUUGCGACCGUACUCCCCAGGCGGGGUGCUUAAUGCGUUUGCUGCGCCACCGACCGGCAUGCCGACCGACGGCUAGCACCCAUAGUUUACGGCGUGGACUAC
rnacentral:misc_RNA from 1 species